rnacentral:rRNA from 1 species
GAUGAACGCUGGCGGCGUGCCUAAUACAUGCAAGUCGAGCGAACAGACGAGGAGCUUGCUCCUCUGACGUUAGCGGCGGACGGGUGAGUAACACGUGGAUAACCUACCUAUAAGACUGGGAUAACUUCGGGAAACCGGAGCUAAUACCGGAUAAUAUAUUGAACCGCAUGGUUCAAUAGUGAAAGACGGUUUUGCUGUCACUUAUAGAUGGAUCCGCGCCGCAUUAGCUAGUUGGUAAGGUAACGGCUUACCAAGGCGACGAUGCGUAGCCGACCUGAGAGGGUGAUCGGCCACACUGGAACUGAGACGCGGUCCAGACUCCUACGGGAGGCAGCAGUAGGGAAUCUUCCGCAAUGGGCGAAAGCCUGACGGAGCAACGCCGCGUGAGUGAUGAAGGUCUUCGGAUCGUAAAACUCUGUUAUUAGGGAAGAACAAAUGUGUAAGUAGCUAUGCACGUCUUGACGGUACCUAAUCAGAAAGCCACGGCUAACUACGUG